GACCUGGCUGGGCGGUCCGCUUACCAGCGUGUACUGUCUGGCUGGGCCUUACCUCUUGGUGAACCGGCGUGCCCUUUAUUGGUGUGCGUCGGGGAACCAGGACUUUUACCUUGAGAAAAUUAGAGUGUUCAAAGCAGGCCUAUGCCCGAAUACAUUAGCAUGGAAUAAUAAAAUAGGACGUGCGGUUCUAUUUUGUUGGUUUCUAGAGUCGCCGUA
rnacentral:rRNA from 1 species